CUUAACGUAUUGUGAGCGCUGCUCCUAUAUGUCACCUCAUUUGGUCCUAAAUGUUUAUUUAUUUCUAAACAUAACAACACCUAACCCUUAAUAGGAAAACACAACCCCACCUUGUGAAGAGGAGAUCCACCCUGAAAAGCCACCAGCUGAAAUCCUUAGGACUUCACAUUCUACAACCCAGAAGUGGCAAAAUCUACAGUUAAAGAUGUGAGCUCCCAGGUUCCUGCUCUUGCUGUCACAUCUGUCUCUUGCUGACAUGCCUCCCACCAAGAUGGUACCAUAAGCCCAAAUAAACUCUACGUUCCAUAACGUCUUUUGGCUGCGGUACCUUACAGCAGCAUAGAACCACUUAAUUCCAUCGUCCAUCAUUGGGAUUAAAGGAUAAAACCCUGCAGCUGAAGACACCACACACCUUGCAGCAAGACACAGAGAAAACAAGCGAGAACAGAGCUGGAAACUUCCUCCCUGCUGUGUAGCUUGCAAAGUUCCUCAAGCUGCCAUGCAGGACGCUGCAGGAGAAAAAUGCACCAAGUCUCACCCAUAUGUGAGCCCCAGGAACCAAAAGCAAGCAAACCUUCUGGGCAAGAGGUUCCCACCCGUGUAACAGAGGCACAGCGCUGUGGAGCCAACCAAGUGCUCUCAGCCUGGACCAGGUUCCAAGGGGAAGCUCCAAUUCCAGACCGGACAAUCCCAGUUAACCCAGUAAUCACAAAACCAAGCAAACGUGAAUGUGGGGCAGGGACAGGGACAGGGACAGGGAGGUGAGAGCAGUCGGUACAGCAGGCACCUGUGUGAGAUUGUCAGAUAACAAAUGUAACCAAUAAAAAAGAGACAAUUUAUACCA